AUGAGGACCAGCCUCCCCCUUGUCGUCGGCGUCGGCGUCGGCAUCGUCAUUUGCUCCAUCAUCAUGCCCGCCACGGCGAUAUCGAUGCCUGGAGCGUGGGAGUACUGCAACGUCGACGCCCUGAAGAUGCAGGAGCUCGGGAAGUGGGCAGUGGCGGAGCACGUCAAGAUGGCGAACGAUGGCAUCCGAUUCAUCGAGGUGUGGGGCUGCGAGGAGCAGGUUGUUCAAGGCGUUAACUACCGUGUCUUCCUCCACGCGUUCCACAACUCCGGCGAGAAAGGCCGAUUCCAGGCGGGCGUGUACGAGGGGGCGUCGAGCAGUGUACGCAAGCUCGUCUCCUUCGACCCGAUCAUGUAG
rnacentral:rRNA from 1 species